UACGGAGUAACGGGGUUGACAAAAGGGCUGACUGGCAGAAAGAGGAGCCAAGCGGAAAUGGGCCUAGCUGAGCUGAACACACACAAUGCCUUGAAGUGGCCCGAGAUUGAGAACCCCAGGUAUUUGAGAGAGAACCCUAUCCCCUUGUCUCCGAUAUUCCUCAAAUCCAGCCUGAAGAAUAGCACUGUGACUGAUGAGCAGACCCCAGUUGCAAGACAGGAGAAAGAGG